rnacentral:rRNA from 1 species
GUAAUACUCCUACGGGAGGCAUGCAGUAAGGAAUUUUCCACAAUGGGCGAAAGCCUGAUCCAGCAACGCCAAGUGCGGGAUGAAGGCCUUCGGGUUGUAAACUGCUUCCCCAGGCGAUGAAUAUGACAGUAGCUCCAGAGUAAGGCCCGGCUAACUUCGUGCCAGCAGCCGCGGUAAUACUCCUA